GGCCCGGUAGCGGAGGGUUUCCGCGCCUGCUUCCAAUUCAGCGCUCUCGUGUGCCAGUGUGCCUGCAGGACUCGCUCGUUCGACUCGGGCCUGGGCAA